GGAGAGAUGGCCGAGUGGCUGAAGGCAGCGGUUUGCUAAAUCGCCGUACGGGUUAACUCCCGUACCGAGGGUUCGAAUCCCUCUCUCUCCGCCA
rnacentral:tRNA from 2 species